rnacentral:rRNA from 1 species
UACGUAGGGGGCAAGCGUUGUCCGGAAUUAUUGGGCGUAAAGAGCGCGUAGGCGGUCCGGUAAGUCGGUUGUGAAAGUCGGGGGGCUCAACCCUCGGAUGCCGAUCGAUACUGUCGGGCUAGAGUCCGGAAGAGGCGAGUGGAAUUCCUGGUGUAGCGGUGAAAUGCGCAGAUAUCAGGAGGAACACCAAUGGCGAAGGCAGCACUCUGGGACGGUACUGACGCUGAGGAGCGAAAGCGUGGGUAGCAAACAGG